AGCAGCUGACCUCUCGCUGUGAUGCAGCUGGGGGAAGAUCUGGAAGGUUUUUUGGAAGCUUCUUCUGGGUGUUCUGGAUAUUUAGGAAGCUGCUGCUCUUCUGGCCAGAGGUCUCCAUGGAAUUCCUCCAUCUGAGACACAGAGCUGGUGCCACGGGUCUCAAUUAUUUUAAGAUAUGUGCCAAUAAAUGAAUACAUUGCCAUCUCUCAAGGAAGCUGAUUUCUU